AGGACCGCCGUAAUGAUUAAUAGGGAUAGUCGGGGGCAUCAGUAUUCAAGCGUCAGAGGUGAAAUUCUUGGAUUGCUUGAAGACUAACUACUGCGAAAGCAUUUGCCAAGGAUGUUUUCAUUAAUCAGUGAACGAAAGUUAGGGGAUCGAAGACGAUCAGAUACCGUCGUAGUCUUAACCAUAAACUAUGCCGACUAGGGAUCGGACGAGUGUUAGUAUUUUGACCCGUUCUGGCACCUUACGAGAAAU
rnacentral:rRNA from 1 species